rnacentral:rRNA from 1 species
UGGACAAUGGGGGCAACCCUGAUCCAGCCAUGCCGCGUGUGUGAAAGAAGGCCCUCGGGUUGUAAAGCACUUUCAGCGAGGAAGAAUGCUUGUCGGUUAAUACCCGGCAAGGGAGACAUCACUCGCAGAAGAAGCACCGGCUAACUCCGUGCCAGCAGCCGCGGUAAUACGGAGGGUGCGAGCGUUAAUCGGAAUUACUGGGCGUAAAGCGUGCGUAGGCGGCUUGAUAAGCCGGUUGUGAAAGCCCCGGGCUCAACCUGGGAACGGCAUCCGGAACUGUUAGGCUAGAGUGCAGGAGAGGAAGGUAGAAUUCCCGGUGUAGCGGUGAAAUGCGUAGAGAUCGGGAGGAAUACCAGUGGCGAAGGCGGCCUUCUGGACUGACACUGACGCUGAGGUACGAAAGCGUGGGUAGCAAACAGGAUUAGAUACCCUGGUAGUCCACGCCGUAAACGAUGUCGACUAGCCGUUGGGGUCCUCGAGACCUUUGUGGCGCAGUUAACGCACUAAGUCGACCGCCUGGGGAGUACGGCCGCAAGGUUAAAACUCAAAUGAAUUGACGGGGGCCCGCACAAGCGGUGGAGCAUGUGGUUUAAUUCGAUGCAACGCGAAGAACCUUACCUACCCUUGACAUCGUGCGAACUUUCCAGAGAUGGAUUGGUGCCUUCGGGAACGCACAGACAGGUGCUGCAUGGC